AAGUCGUAACAAGGUUUCCGUAGGUGAACCUGCGGAAGGAUCAUUAUCGAUUUUAAAAGCUCUUGAGCUGGCACUGCAGGUGCUCAGAGCCUUUAUCCAAUCAACCCCUGUGCACAUCGAACGAAUGGUUGAAAGGUUACUUAACUGUGCCGGACGACUGUUUGUUUUAUUAUAAACACUUUUUUAUUGUCUUGUAAUGGAUUAGCCUUCGGGCUCUAAAGUUAAAUACAACUUUCAACAACGGAUCUCUUGGCUCUC
rnacentral:misc_RNA from 1 species